UCGGAGCUCGCCUGCGACUCUGCGGCGGCGCUGGCGCUGUCGCGGGCGCGGGCGCGGCUGCAGCGCGGCGCGGUGGCCGCGGUGCUGCGCGGGGACGUGCCCGGCGUCGGCGGCGGCCUCGGGGACACGGCGGGCGCGGUGGCGGCGCGGGUGACCGGGGACGCGGAGGCGGCGCACGCGGCGCUGGCGGACGCGCUGGUGCCGGCGCUGUGGGCGCUGUCGCGGGCGGCGGCGCUGCUGGCGGCCGUGGCCUGGCUGUCCCCGGCGCUGGGGCUGCUGACGGCGCUGGCGCUGCCGCUGCUGCUGCUGCUGCCGCGCGCCGUGGCACGGCUGCAGCAGGUACGGCCGUGUCACCGUGUCACCAAUGCCACCAAUGUCACCUCUGUGUCACUCUGUGUGCUCAGUGUCACCUCCGUGUCACCGGGGUCACCUCUGUGUCACUCUGUGUGUUUAGUGUCACCUCCGUGUCACCAGUGUCACAUCUGUGUGCUCAUUGUCACCUCCGUGUCACCAGUGUCACCUCUGUGUGCCCUCUGUCACCUCCGUGUCACCAGUGUCACCUCUGUGUCACUCUGUGUGCUUAGUGUCACCUCCAUGUCACCGGGGUCACCUCUGUGUGCCCUCUGUCACCUCUGUGUCACCGCGGUCACCUCUCUGUCACCGGUGUCACCAGUGUCACCUCUGUGUGCCCUCUGUCACCUCUGUGUUACCGGUGUCACCUCCUUGUCCUCAUUGUCACCUCUGUGUCACCAGUGUCACCUCGGUGUGCCCUUGGUCACCUCUGUGUCACCAGUGUCACCUCUGUGUGCCCUUUGUCACCUCUCCGUCACCUCUGUGUCACCAUUGUCAGUUCUUUGUCCCAGAUGUCACCUCUCUGUCCCCAUUGUCACCUCUGUGUCACCAGUGUCACCUUUGUGUGCCCUGUGUCACCUCUGUGUCACCACUGUCACCUCCCUGUCCCCAUUGUCAUUUCCGUGUCCCCAUUGUCACCUCCCUGUCCCCAUGGUGACCCCGAGGUGACUUCCCUGUCCCCUCAUGACCCCUUGGUGACCCUGAUGACCCCUUGGUGACCCCGUGGUCAUCCCCUGUCCCACCCACCCUGUGUCCCCAAAUCCUUGUGGUGUCCCCACAGUGUCCCCCUUGUCCCCAGUGUGUCCCCCUGACCCCCUUGUCCCCUGUGUGACCCCAGGGUGACCCUGUGUCCCCAGUGUGACCGUGUCCCCCUUUGUCCCCAGCGUCACCCAGUGUGACCCUGUGUCCCCCUUUGUCCCCAGCGUCACCCAGUGUGACCCUGUGUCCCAAGUGUCCCCCAG
rnacentral:lncRNA from 1 species